GGAAGGGGUGUAUUUAUUAGAUAAAAAACCAAUGCCCUUCGGGGCUUCUUGGUGAUUCAUGAUAACUUUACGGAUCGCAUGGCCUUGCGCCGGCGACGGUUCAUUCAAAUUUCUGCCCUAUCAACUUUCGAUGGUAAGGUAUUGGCUUACCAUGGUUUCAACGGGUAACGGGGAAUUAGGGUUCGAUUCCGGAGAGGGAGCCUGAGAAACGGCUACCACAUCCAAGGAAGGCAGCAGGCGCGCAAAUUACCCAAUCCCGACACGGGGAGGUAGUGACAAUAAAUACUGAUACAGGGCUCUUUUGGGUCUUGUAAUUGGAAUGAGUACAAUUUAAACCUCUUAACGAGGAACAAUUGGAGGGCAAGUCUGGUGCCAGCAGCCGCGGUAAUUCCAGCUCCAAUAGCGUAUAUUAAAGUUGUUGCAGUUAAAAAGCUCGUAGUUGAAACUUGGGUCUGGCUGGCAGGUCCGCCUCACCGCGUGUACUUGUCCGGCCGGGCCUUCCUUCUGGAGAACCUCAUGCCCUUCAUUGGGCGUGUUGGGGACCAGGACUUUUAC
rnacentral:rRNA from 1 species